CCUACGGGCGGCAGCAGUGAGGAAUAUUGGUCAAUGGGCGGAAGCCUGAACCAGCCAAGUCGCGUGAGGGAAUAAGGCCCUACGGGUCGUAAACCUCUUUUGCCGGGGAGCAAGGGCCGGGACGAGUCCCGGUCCGGAGAGUACCCGGAGAAAAAGCAUCGGGUAACUCCGUGCCAGCAGCCGCGGUAAUACGGAGGAUGGGAGCGUUAUCGGGCUUGAUUGGGUUUAAAGGGUGAGUAGACGGCAGCAAAAGUUUGGAGUGAAAUCCCGGGGCUUAACCCCGGAACUGCUUUGGAAACUGUGCGGCUGGAGUGCAGGAGGGGUAAGCGGAAUUCCUAGUGUAGCGGUGAAAUGCGUAGAUAUUAGGAGGAACACCGGUGGCGAAGGCGGCUUACUGGACUGUAACUGACGUUGAGGCUCGAAAGCGUGGGGAGCAAACAGGAUUAGAUACCCGUGUAGUC
rnacentral:rRNA from 1 species